rnacentral:rRNA from 1 species
ACUCAGCCCUUCGGGACUGAGUUUAGUGGCGAACGGGUGAGUAACGCGUGAGGAACCUGCCUUUCAGUGGGGGACAACAGUUGGAAACGACUGCUAAUACCGCAUAAGCCCACGGGUCGGCAUCGACCAGAGGGAAAAGGAGUGAUCCGCUUUGAGAUGGCCUCGCGUCUGAUUAGCUGGUUGGUGAGGUAACGGCUCACCAAGGCGACGAUCAGUAGCCGGUCUGAGAGGAUGAACGGCCACAUUGGGACUGAGAUACGGCCCAGACUCC